rnacentral:rRNA from 1 species
UACGGGGGGGGCAAGCGUUGUUCGGAAUUACUGGGCGUAAAGGGCUCGUAGGCGGCCAACUAAGUCAGACGUGAAAUCCCUCGGCUUAACCGGGGAACUGCAUCUGAUACUGGAUGGCUUGAGUUCGGGAGAGGGAUGCGGAAUUCCAGGUGUAGCGGUGAAAUGCGUAGAUAUCUGGAGGAACACCGGUGGCGAAGGCGGCAUUCUGGACCGAUAUUGACGCUGAGGAGCGAAAGCCAGGGGAGCAAAGCGGG